rnacentral:lncRNA from 1 species
AUUUAACAGGUGCAAUUUUAUCAAUGAAGAACCAAUCUCCGAGCUUGCUUCCUCCCUCUGCCUCUUUUACCUUUUGUGUCAUUUCAUUUUGGUUGCAAGUCUGAGGACAGGGAUUUUUCUCAUCACUGACAACUGUUGAGAUACUCCAGGAGAUUUUUUUUUUGGGGGGAGGGGGGUCCUGCAAUUUGAAUGCCCCUAUCACUCUAAUAUGUCAACGGAAUGGGACGGAUUGGGGCUCAUUUGUUUUGUUCCCCAUUCAGUUUAAAAAUGAAUGAACAGUGACCUCCGGAGGAUGCUCUUUGCUUUACACCCGUACGGGAGAAUCUCCACGAGGGCAUUGCAACACUCCAUCGGCGUUGCUUUAUUUAAACCACUUACCUUCUUCCGAGAUCUCUGCGUGGUGUUGCAAUGGGUUGGUGUUGCUGCCUCCAGGUGACCUCCCACGCACCUCUAAUCAGAGCUUCUGCUUGGAAAAUCUGUGAGAAUGUUAUUUGCCCCCAAAAUGGAAAGAUGAUGGAACCCCGACAAAAGAAGAAUGUAUACAAAACCUAUGGACUAUGCAGGAAUGGAAAAACUUACCACGUGGUUGGAAUUUUGUUUCGGCAGUUGCUGGAUUUCACAAGAAGAGAGAGAGAGAAUCUGACAAUGUGUUCAAUACAGCCAUACCUUGAAAGUCGAACGGAAUCUGUUCCGGAAGUCUGUUUGACUUCCAAAACAUUCGGAAACCAAGGAAGCUCUUGCAGCCAAUCGGAAGCCACAGAAGCCGCGUCGGACAUUCGGGUUCCAAAGAACGUUCGCAAACCAGGACACUCACUUCUGGGUUUGAGGCAUUCAGGAGCCAAAACAUUCAACUCUCAAGGCGUUUGGGAUCCAAGGUAUGUCUAUAUUCAUUAG